rnacentral:rRNA from 1 species
GAGUGAGACUGCGGGCGCUAAGGUUCGUAGUCGAAAGGGAAACAGCCCGGACCGUCGGCUAAGGUCCCGAAAUUAUGCUAAGUGUUAAAUGAAGUGUGGAUGCACAGACAGCCAGGAGGUUGGCUUAGAAGCAGCCAUUCCUUAAAAGAGUGCGUAACAGCUCACUGGUCGAGCAUCCGGGCGCAGACAAUGUAACGGGGCUAAGCAUUAUACCGAAACUCCGGACUCAUCGCAAAAGUUAUGAUUGGUAGGGGAGCAUUCCAUUAACUGAAGAAGGAAUACGUGUGAGGGGUUCUGGAGGAGACGGAAGAGAGAAUGCAGGCAUAAGUAACGAAAAGACGGGUGAGAUUCCCGUCCGCCGAAAACAUAAGGUUUCCAAGGUAAAGGCAAUCUGCCCUGGGUAAGUCGGCCCCUAAAUCCAGGCCGAAAGGCGUAGACGAUGGGAAAUUGGUUUAUAAUCCGAUACCUUCAUUAUUUUGAAGCCCUGACGCAUGAAGUGAAAUCCGGCGGGCGAAUGUUGUUCCCGUCUAAACAGUGAGUCUGAAAGGGUUUGGAGGAAAUCUGUCGACUGAAGUAAGCCGUUACAGCGAGUGGAAGGAAAGUUGAAGCGAAGCGGACGUAGUCAUGGUGCCGAGAAAUAGUGUCUAAGGCUAGGCC